rnacentral:rRNA from 1 species
UACCUUAGUAACGGCGAGUGAAGCGGUAACAGCUCAAAUUUGAAAUCUGGGUCUUUUAGGCUCCGAGUUGUAAUUUGUAGAAGAUGCUUUGGGUGCGGCCCCGGUCUAAGUUCCUUGGAACAGGACGUCAUAGAGGGUGAGAAUCCCGUAUGUGAUCGGUGGCUUGCGCCCGUGUAAAGCUCUUUCGACGAGUCGGGUUGUUUGGGAAUGCAGCUCUAAAUGGGUGGUAAAUUUCAUCUAAAGCUAAAUAUUGGCCAGAGACCGAUAGCGCACAAGUAGAGUGAUCGAAAGAUGAAAAGCACUUUGGAAAGAGAGUUAAACAGUACGUGAAAUUGUUGAAAGGGAAGCGCUUGCAACCAGACUUGCGCGGGGUUGAUCAUCCGGGGUUCUCCCCGGUGCACUCGGCCUCGCUCAGGCCAGCAUCGGUCUUGGUGGUUGGAUAAAGGCCUUGGGAAUGUGACUUCUUUCGGGGAGUGUUAUAGCCCUCGGUGCAAUGCAGCCUACCGGGACCGAGGACCGCGCUUCGGCUAGGAUGCUGGCGUAAUGGUUGUAAGCGACCCGUCUUGAAACACGGACCAAGGAGUCUAACAUCUAUGCGAGUGUUUGGGUGUCAAACCCAUACGCGUAAUGAAAGUGAACGGAGGUGAGAACCCUUAAGGGUGCAUCAUCGACCGAUCCUGAUGUCUUCGGAUGGAUUUGAGUAAGAGCAUAGCUGUUGGGACCCGAAAGAUGGUGAACUAUGCCUGAAUAGGGUGAAGCCAGAGGAAACUCUGGUGGAGGCUCGCAGCGGUUCUGACGUGCAAAUCGAUCGUCAAAUUUGGGCAUAGGGGCGAAAGACUAAUCGAACCAUCUAGUAGCUGGUU